rnacentral:rRNA from 1 species
UACGUAGGGUGCGAGCGUUGUCCGGAAUUAUUGGGCGUAAAGAGCUUGUAGGCGGUCUGUCGCGUCUGCUGUGAAAAUCCGGGGCUCAACCCCGGACUUGCAGUGGGUACGGGCAGACUAGAGUGUGGUAGGGGAGACUGGAAUUCCUGGUGUAGCGGUGAAAUGCGCAGAUAUCAGGAGGAACACCGAUGGCGAAGGCAGGUCUCUGGGCCAUAACUGACGCUGAGGAGCGAAAGCGUGGGGAGCAAACAGG